rnacentral:misc_RNA from 1 species
UUGAAGAACAGAGCGCGCUUCAUUGCGGCUCGCCUUCAUAUCCACAUACCCUGUGAACCGUAAUACUUUUUUUUAUUAUACUCUGCAGUCGAAGAAUGUAUCCUUUAUAAAGUAAAUA